rnacentral:rRNA from 1 species
UACGGAAGGCAGCAGUGGGGAAUAUUGCACAAUGGGCGCAAGCCUGAUGCAGCUAUGCCGCGUGUAUGAAGAAGGCCUUAGGGUUGUAAAGUACUUUCAUCGGGGAGGAAAAACAAAACUAAUAAUUUUAUUUUCUUUGACGUUACCCGAAAAAGAAGCACCGGCUAACUCCGUGCCAGCAGCCGCGGUAAUACGGAGGGUGCUAGCGUUAAUCAGAAUUACUGGGCGUAAAGAGCACGUAGGUGGUUUUUUUAAGUUCAGAUGUGAAAUCCCUGGGCUUAACCUAGGAACUGCAUUUUGAAACUGAAAUACUAGAGUAUCGUAGAGGGAGGUAGAAUUCUAGGUGUAGCGGUGAAAUGCGUAGAUAUCUGGAGGAAUACCUGUGGCGAAAGCGGCCUCCUAAACGAAUACUGACACUGAGGUGCGAAAGCGUGGGGAGCAAACAGGGAUUAGAUA